UGGGAAGUGUAUAUGCAACGCUGAACAGAAAACACAGUGUUCUUUUCCCGCUUGCCUCCACCUCCUUCAUAAGUACUCUGCCAAAACACGAAGGAGGCUUUCUCCAAGUUUGCCAUGUCAGGGAAAGAGACCUGUCUCAACCUGGAAGUGAAAUGUGUCACUUCUCACAGUUCAUUGACCACAACCAGUCAUAUGGCCUUGUCUCACCAUAAGAGAGGUUAACACCAGAUGGUGACAUCACAAAUCUAAAAUUACGAGUAUAGAGAAGUAACAUUUCAAAGGGACCACAGAGGAAUUUUUUGGAAAACCUAUAGACGGAAUCAUGGUCUUCUCAAUCCUUUUUGAUUUGCAAUUAUGACUUUUCACUUAGCAACUGAAAAAAGAAGAGUCACUUGAGCUUAACAAUCACCUACUAAGGUAAAAAGAGAAGCUGGAGUUAGGAGGACCAAGCGCAAAUAAAGAAGACAAUGG